CUCUCAAUAGCUCUGGAGUGAUCUACUCUCCUCUAUUCACCUUAUCAUCUGUGAAAGUAUCAAUUCCCUUCUGAUGUAAUGCCUUAGUAAGAAAAUGGGUAAAAUUAUCACGCGUAUCUCCACCCCUGAAACUAAUGAACACAUCGUAUUUCCAUUCAGGGGCUGUAGAAGAAGAGGAAGCCAUUCUGUAAAAAAUCGUCCUCCAGAACAAAAAUCACUUAUUUUUGCUAGAAUUCCCUCUGGUUCUUUGCAAACAAACAAAGAAUGACAUUGGACCCUAUGACAAAUCGAUCUAAGAUGCAAAAUCCGAAUAAAAUAAAGAAGCGUAAGAGUUUAAUGGUGAACUCAAAUAUUGCAGCAAAAGUGAAAUAGAGAAAUUGGCAGUAGAAGGACGAUUUGUAAAGCUGUGAUUUUGCAGAUUUUUAUAGAGACUCAUGGGAAGACGGAAAAGGGAAGAAAAAGAAUGGAAAGAGGAAACUCAAGAGGGGUGAAAAGAGAGAGGAAAAG
rnacentral:misc_RNA from 1 species